rnacentral:rRNA from 1 species
CAUGCAAGUCGAACGCCCCCUUCGGGGGGAGUGGCAGACGGGUGAGUAACGCGUGGGAAUCUACCCAACCCUACGGAACAACUCGAGGAAACUUGAGCUAAUACCGUAUACGCCCUUUUGGGGAAAGAUUUAUCGGGGAUGGAUGAGCCCGCGUUUGAUUAGCUAGUUGGUGGGGUGAUGGCCUACCAAGGCGACGAUCAAUAGCUGGUCUGAGAGGAUGAUCAGCCACAUUGGGACUGAGACACGGCCCAAACUCCUACGGGAGGCAGCAGUGGGGAAUAUUGGACAAUGGGCGCAAGCCUGAUCCAGCCAUGCCGCGUGAGUGAUGAAGGCCCUAGGGUUGUAAAGCUCUUUCAACGGUGAAGAUAAUGACGGUAACCGUAGAAGAAGCCCCGGCUAACUUCGUGCCAGCAGCCGCGGUAAUACGAAGGGGGCUAGCGUUGUUCGGAUUUACUGGGCGUAAAGCGCACGUAGGCGGAUCGUUAAGUGAGGGGUGAAAUCCCGGGGCUCAACCCCGGAACUGCCUCUCAUACUGGCGAUCUGGAGUUCGAGAGAGGUGAGUGGAAUUCCGAGUGUAGAGGUGAAAUUCGUAGAUAUUCG